rnacentral:rRNA from 1 species
CCUACGGGGUGCAGCAGUGGGGGAUAUUGCACAAUGGGGGGAACCCUGAUGCAGCGACGCCGCGUGGGUGAAGAAGCGUUUCGGCGCGUAAAGCUCUAUCUGCAGGGAAGAAAAUCACUGUACCUGACCAAGAAGCCCCGUCGAACUACGUGCCAGCAGCCGCGGGAAUACGUAGGGGGCAGGCGUUAUCCGGAUUUACUGGGUGUAAGGGGGGCGCAGAUGGCAAUGCAGGCCAGGAGGGAAAGCCCGGGGCCCAACCCCGGGACUGCCCUUGGAACUGCAUGUCUGGAGUACAGGAGGGGUAGGCGGAAUUCCUAGUGUAGCGGUGAAAUGCGUAGAUAUUAGGAGGAACACCGGUGGCGAAGGCGGUCUGCUGGACUGCGACUGACGUUGAGGCUCGAAGGCGUGGGGAGCAAACAGGAUUAGAUACCCGGGUAGUC